UAGGGAAUCUUCGGCAAUGGACGAAAGUCUGACCGAGCAACGCCGCGUGAGGGAAGAAGGUUUUCGGAUCGUAAAACUCUGUUGUUAGAGAAGAACAAGGACGGUAGUAACUGAACGUCCCCUGACGGAAUCUAACCAGAAAGCCACGGCUAACUACGUGCCAGCAGCCGCGGUAAUACGUAGGUGGCAAGCGUUGUCCGGAUUUAUUGGGCGUAAAGCGAUCGCAGGCGGUUUCGUAAGUCUGAUGUGAAAGCCCCGGGCUUAACCGGGGAGGGUCAUUGGAAACUGGGAGACUAGAGUGCAGAAGAGGCGAGUGGAAUUCCAUGUGUAGCGGUGAAAUGCGUAGAUAUAUGGAGGAACACCAGUGGCGAAGGCGGCUCUCUGGUCUGUAACUGACGCUGAGGCUCGAAAGCGUGGGGAGCAAAAAGG
rnacentral:rRNA from 1 species